UGCAUGUCGAGCGAACAGAUAAGGAGCUUGCUCCUUUGACGUUAGCGGCGGACGGGUGAAUAACACGUGGAUAACCUACCUAUAAGACUGGGAUAACUUCGGGAAACCGGAGCUAAUACCGGAUAAGAUUUUGAACCGCAUGGUUCAAUAGUGAAAGACGGCCUUGCUGUCACUUAUAGAUGGAUCCGCGCCGUAUUAGCUAGUUGGUAAGGUAACGGCUUACCAAGGCAACGAUACGUAGCCGACCUGAGAGGGUGAUCGGCCACACUGGAACUGAGACACGGUCCAGACUCCUACGGGAGGCAGCAGUAGGGAAUCUUCCGCAAUGGGCGAAAGCCUGACGGAGCAACGCCGCGUGAGUGAUGAAGGUCUUCGGAUCGUAAAACUCUGUUAUCAGGGAAGAACAAACGUGUAAGUAACUGUGCACGUCUUGACGGUACCUGAUCAGAAAGCCACGGCUAACUACGUGCCAGCAGCCGCGGUAAUACGUAGGUGGCAAGCGUUAUCCGGAAUUAUUGGGCGUAAAGCGCGCGUAGGCGGUUUUUUAAGUCUGAUGUGAAAGCCCACGGCUCAACCGUGGAGGGUCAUUGGAAACUGGAAAACUUGAGUGCAGAAGAGGAAAGUGGAAUUCCAUGUGUAGCGGUGAAAUGCGCAGAGAUAUGGAGGAACACCAGUGGCGAAGGCGACUUUCUGGUCUGUAACUGACGCUGAUGUGCGAAAGCGUGGGGAUCAACAGGAUUAGAUACCCUGGUAGUCCACGCCGUAAACGAUGAGUGCUAAGUGUUAGGGGGUUUCCCCCCNUAGUGCUGCNGCUAACGCAUUAANCACUCCNCCUGGGGAGUACNACCNCANGGUUGAAACUCAAAGNANUUGACNGGGACCCCCNCAACNGGUGGANCAUGUGGUUU
rnacentral:rRNA from 1 species